UUCUUUUCUUCUCUUCUUGUUCUCUUUCCUGUUCCUCUUCUAUGUCUCCCUGUCGAUCUUAGUCUCGGAGAUUUGAGUGUUAUUUGUAUCAGAAUUCUUGUAGACUUUGUUAUACAAGAUGAUUAGAUGAAGAAGGUGAUGUUUCAGAAGCUUAUCUAGUUCUGCAAAGUACAGAGAAUGUUAAUCUUUAUUAACAACGAUCGAUUCAAAGGAUGAACCCGUAGAUGGAGGAAUUCAAGGUAGGAGUGGCUUGUCAUCAAAUCAGUUUCAGUUACCAGAAGAAAUGGUGCACGUGAAGGUAUCCGUUUUCUUAGUUUAAAGCGUUAGCAAACCGUGUUACAUUUAUGUUUCCUUUGUAUAUUUGUAUUCUUUAUUUAUUGUAAAACAAC